rnacentral:lncRNA from 12 species
UCCCAGCAAGCGCCGCUUCCCACCCUCCCGGCUCGGGUGGGUCCUGCUGCGAGUCCCAUCCACUUCUCCACGUCGUGCCUAUGCGACCUUCCAUGUAUCUACCCCCCUAGCCUUGCUUUCUCUGGGAGGAAACAGGUGCAGACGUGCAGAAGCCGCUCCCCGCAGGCCGUGCAGGCCAGGGAGGAGUAGAGCCUAGGUGCGCACCAGGUGGGCUGGGGCCAGGGCUCUCCCCACAGUGCCAUGUGAGCCCCCCCUGCCCUGGGCCUCACCUGCAGAACUAUUGCCUCUUUCCAGGGCUCCUGGGACUCAGGACCUGGCGUCUGGGUUCCUGUGCCUUGAGCAUCUGUGGGCUGGCUCCGCAGGCCCCAGGGAGAGUGCCUGGCAUCCCUUGGAGCCGAUCCUCCCGCCCAGUCAGCUGCUUUUAUCUCAGGCACAAGUCAAUAUUCAAAACACACGGUGACGGCUGCUUGAGAGUGCCACGUCACCCGGAGGCAAGAGAUGAUAUCACGGGCCUUGGAACCAGGAAAGACUGUCUUUGAUGUCCAGUUCCACUAUCAACUGGCAUGUGACCGACUGUGAGAAUUUCAACCUCUUGGAGCCCUUAAGCCUCUCAGAUCCUCCUCCUCCUCCUCCACCACCUUCUCCUCCUCAUUAUCACAGGCUGUGCCAUCAUGUGAAAUCUCCUUGUGCUGAUAAUGAGGUUUUCCACAUCUGGUGACAGGAAGGAACCACCACCUGAUGAAGCUCUGCAUGUGCUCCAGACGUUGAGGCAGCACCCCACUCCUGAACCCUCACAAUAACCCCGCAAGGAUAGUGUUAUUAUCUCCAGGUAGAGACACGGGAACUGAACUUCAGAGAAAUUAACCGGCUUGCUCACCAUUGCACAUUCAGUUAAUGGUAGAACCAUCUCAACAUCUCUCCUGCAGACCAGGAUUCAUGUUUAUCCAAGGGUAUGGUAUUCUUGCUUGAACAUCUGACUUCCUUCCAACAGGUACACGGACCCUAUCUUGGGCUCUACCCCACAAACACGUGGCCAAGUGAGUGAGGAAGCCCGCCCGCGGGAUCCCUGGGUGGCGCAGCGGUUUGGCGCCUGCCUUUGGCCCAGGGCGCGAUCCUGGAGACCCGGGAUCGAAUCCCACGUCAGGCUCCCGGUGCAUGGAGCCUGCUUCUCCCUCUGCCUGUGUCUCUGCCUCUCUCUCUCUCACUGUGUGCCUAUCAUAAAUAAAUAAAAAAUUAAAAAAAAAAAAAAAAAAGGA